rnacentral:rRNA from 1 species
UACGUAGGGGCAAGCGUUGUCCGGAUUCAUUGGGCGUAAAGAGCUCGUAGGCGGCUUGUUGCGUCGACCGUGAAAACCCGGGGCUCAACUUCGGGCUUGCGGUUGAUACGGGCGGGCUGGAGUUCGGUAGGGGAGACGUGGAAUUCCUGGUGUAGCGGUGAAAUGCGCAGAUAUCAGGAGGAACACCGGUGGCGAAGGCGGGUCUCUGGGCCGAUACUGACGUGAGGAGCGAAAGCGUGGGGAGCGAACAGG